rnacentral:rRNA from 1 species
UGAUGGAGAUAGAUUAUUGCAAUUAUUAGUCUUCAACGAGGAAUGCCUAGUAAGCGCGAGUCAUCAGCUCGCGUUGAUUACGUCCCUGCCCUUUGUACACACCGCCCGUCGCUCCUACCGAUUGGGUGUGCUGGUGAAGUGUUCGGAUUGGCCCCGGUUGGUGGCAACAUUGUCCGGAGCCGAGAAGAUCAUUAAACCCUCCCACCUAGAGGAAGGAGAAGUCGUAACAAGGUUUCCGUAGGUGAACCUGCGGAAGGAUCAUUGAA